UGUUUUUUUUUUUUUUUUUUUUUUUUUCAACAUCAUCAUU
rnacentral:ribozyme from 9 species